rnacentral:rRNA from 1 species
AUGAAGAAGAAGGGUGUUUGUAUUGUUGCAUUGUGGGAAAGAUCUUCCAAUGCAAAUAAAAGAACUUCGACAUCUACACCAAAUCCUCCUGAUGUUGAAGUUGAGAACAGUAGUAUCAUUCCUCCUACUAUUGAGAGCAAUCUACAACUGGCACUUGUGCAAGCACAUGAACCCGAUGAUGGCCACCCAGAACCUGAGAGUGCAGCUGGCUCCCCAACCCCAAUUGUAGAAGAUGAUGAAGCAAAUGAUGAAGUUCAAUUUGAAGUAGAUUUGGAAGCACUUGAGUCUGAUCCUGGGAAACAGAUCCCCAUCUCUAGGUACAAUGUCAAUGACCAGGAUAAAGUUAGAAGGAGAUACAUCAAGUUGGGGGCAUGUCAACCAAAGAAUCAUAAUUUUGAGUAUAGAGAUAUAAGUGGAUUACAGCAUCACUUUUCUCCUUGGUUUAAGGAUUACAAGUGGCUUGAGUAUAGUGUGGACAAAGAAGCCGCUUUCUGCUUCGUUUGCUAUUUGUUCAAGGAUAAAACAAGAUGUCCCGGUGGAGAUGCUUUUGUGAAGAAGGGAUUUAAUAUAUUGUAA